UAGUAGUUUGACUCCGUGGCUCGAGGACGAACGCUGGCGGCGCGCCUAACACAUGCAAGUCGAACGGGACUAUCUCGGAAGAAGUUUUCGGAUGGAUUUUGGGAUAGUUUAGUGGCGGACGGGUGAGUAACACGUGAGCAACCUGCCUUCGAGAGGGGAAUAACGGCUGGAAACGGUCGCUAAUACCGCAUAACGUACGGAUGGGACAUCCUGUUUGUACCAAAGAUUUAUCGCUCGAAGAUGGGCUCGCGUCCGAUUAGGUAGUUGGUGAGGUAACGGCCCACCAAGCCGACGAUCGGUAGCCGGACUGAGAGGUUGAACGGCCACAUUGGGACUGAGACACGGCCCAGACUCCUACGGGAGGCAGCAGUGGGGGAUAUUGCACAAUGGGGGAAACCCUGAUGCAGCGACGCCGCGUGUGGGAAGACGGUCUUCUGGAUUGUAAACCACUGUCCCCAGGGACGAAAAUGACGGUACCUGGGGAGGAAGCUCCGGCUAAUUACGUG
rnacentral:rRNA from 1 species